rnacentral:lncRNA from 1 species
AAGGUCAGAGAUCUAGGUAAGGGGGUAAUUAUGUUGUGGGAAGGUGUUAGGCACCCACAACAUCCUAGGUACUCCUAGGGAACCCUUUUCACAACUUGUUGUAAAAUUAUUUGUUUAUGAAAUAUUUUUGUGCAAACAUUGAUUGAAGAGAUGAGGGAAGAAUGUACAAGUUUAUUAUUUUUGUGUUUGGAUGGAUGAAACCCAUUUCCUACGUGUAGCACCUCAAAU